rnacentral:rRNA from 1 species
GGACUACCAGGGUAUCUAAUCCCAUUCGCUCCCCACGCUUUCGUGUUUCAGCGUCAGGUAAAAUGCGCCAGUGAGCUGCCUUCGCUUUUGGUGUUCCCCUAGAUAUCAACGGAUUUCACCCCUACACCUAGAGUUCCGCUCACCUCUCGCAUCCUCAUAGCCAUGCCGUUUCCCCUGCGGACCCCCGGUUAAGCCGAAGAAUUUCACAGGAGACUAACAUAGCCGCCUACACACCCUUUACGCCCAGUGAUUCCGGAUAACGCUCGAGGCACUCGUAUUACCGCGGCGGCUGGCAC